rnacentral:lncRNA from 1 species
AAUAGCACGUACUUCUGAUAAUUCUGAGAAAAAUGAUCCCCAAAUAUCUCGUCCAGAAAUGCAAAGGAAAAUGCCAUUAAUGGCAAAGAACUCAGAAAAUGUUCUGACUGCUGAUGGGGGAAUCAUCCAGAAAGAUGGAAACAUGGAGAUGAGUUGUGAGGACAGUGCUUCUGCCCCAGAAACAAGCAGUAUAAAGCUUGAUGCAAGUCCAGGGGCACAAGGAUCUCCUUCACCAUUACAGGCACACAGGGAGGACAUUCCCACUGAUAACUCACAUAAAUCCAGCUGCACUCAAAAUGCAACAGAGCAGCCUGGUUAUUGUCAAGCAGAUUUUACAAUUUCUGCACUCAGCCAUCCCAGCCAGCAACCUGGAAACAACCAGGACAAGGGUACUGGGGGGGGAUCACUAAAUAAUGAGCUGGAAGUUGCAGCAUCCCAAAACAGCUCAGAAGGUAACUCUAAUUUGCAGGGUCUCCCAGGUCCUCAGGUGUCAGCACCCUUAGGUCCCUCACCCAGGGUAAGCACAGGUAAAGCAGCAAACUCAGAAAACAGCUCUGCAGGGAAUAUGUGUGUGAGGGAAAAAGACUGUCCAGACCAAAGUUUUCAGGGUGAUGGAGACAAAAUGUUUGCCCUGUCAGAGACUUCGAAUGUAGGGCAGAGAACUGGAAACUUAUCACACUUCAAUUCUGAGAAGCUGAAGAAAGAGAUCUCUGCAAUUAAAUCCAAAACAACAAAAAGUGAGCUAAACUUCAAAGAACAGCAAAGUGACAGUUCAGCAGAGUCCCUGUUAGCACUCCCUACUACAGAAGGGAAGCUGCUGAGCCUUUCAUCAUCACGAGGAGGCUGUAAUGAGGAAAUUGCAACCAAUAUCUGCGUAGAUGACAAGUACGGUAAGAUCUUAGAGAAACCUGGGAAUUCAGAAAAAAUGGAAGAGCUUUCAAAAGAGAAUAAUAACAUAACCAGGGCAGACAUCAGUGUUUCUGAGCAGUCUGCAGAGAACUCUGGAAGGGAGCAUGAGGCUCUGACUUGCAGCUCUUUGGACAUUGGCUCCAGCAUCCCAGACUUCAGGGAGCACAUCAGCCAGAUUUUUAAAAAGUCUGUCCACAGCACACUGAGUGCUGAAUUACCCCAGCUUUUGACUGAAAACCAUGCAGGCUUCAAGCAGAGCCCAGUGGCCAAGGACACAGCAG